GAGCCGGGACAGCCUUCUUCCUCCGCCCAGCCGCCACAGUGAUUGUCGUCAAGUCUGCCACAGGAGGAUAUUUUUUUGAGGUUAACCUGCUUUCUCCCUCGCAGGUCAAUUAUUACUGUUUGUAUAAACUUGUUAAAUCUUAGAAUUUCCGCAUGUGUUAGAAAUGUUUAUUUGAUUUGGGUCUGUAAACUAAAUUAUUAUUUUGGGACCUGUAAACUUAAUAUGCUAUGCAUGUUUGAUGGAUUGGAUGAGGGAGCUGAGCUCCCAUUUAUUAUUAUGUUGAUGAGUAUGUGGAGGGUGAGCUGAGCUCCCCAAUUGACUAUAUAUUGUGUUUACAGGUCGGGUGAGUCGAAAACUCCCCGUUGGUAA